UACGUAGGGGGCUAGCGUUGUCCGGAUUUAUUGGGCGUAAAGAGCGUGUAGGCGGCCAUGUAGGUCCGGUGUGAAAACUCGAGGCUUAACCUCGAGAUGUCAUCGGAAACCAUUUGGCUAGAGUCCGGAAGAGGAGAGUGGAAUUCCUGGUGUAGCGGUGAAAUGCGUAGAUAUCGAGAGGAACACCUGCGGCGAAGGCGGGUUGCUGGGCUGAUACUGACGCUGAGGCGCGAAAGCCAGGGGAGCGAACGGG
rnacentral:rRNA from 1 species